rnacentral:rRNA from 1 species
UCAAUGGAGAGUUUGAUCCUGGCUCAGGACGAACGCUGGCGGCGUGGAUUAGGCAUGCAAGUCGAGCGACGGGCCUUCGGGUUACGGAGCGGCGAACGGGUGAGUAACACGUGAAUAACCUACCCUCUCAUUCCGGAUAAUUGGCCGAAAGGCCUUGUAAUACGGGGGAGGUUCCGAUUUAGGCAUCUUUAUCGGAACGAACAAGCAAUUGGUGCGAGGAGGGGUUCGCGGAUUAUCAGCUAGUUGGUGAGGUAAUGGCUCACCAAGGCUACGACGAUUAGCUGGUCUGAGAGGAUGGUCAGCCACAUUGGAACUGAGAUACUGUCCAGACUCUUACGGGAGGCUGCAGUCGAGAAUCUUGGGCAAUGCACGAAAGUGUGACCCAGCGACGCCGCGUGAAGGAUGAAGGCCCUCUGGGUUGUAAACUUCUUUUAUGAGGGAAGAACGCCCUUUUAGGGUUUGACGGUACCUCAUGAAUAAGCCACGGCUAACUACGUGCCAGCAGCCGCGGUAAUACGUAGGUGGCAAGCGUUGUCCGGAUUUACUGGGCGUAAAGCG